rnacentral:misc_RNA from 1 species
GAUGAAGAACGUAGCGAAAUGCGAUAAGUAAUGUGAAUUGCAGAAUUCAGUGAAUCAUCGAAUCUUUGAACGCACAUUGCGCCCGCUAGUAUUCUAGCGGGCAUGCCUGUUCGAGCGUCAUUUCAACCAUCAAGCCCCAGGCUUGUGUUGGAGCCCUGCGACCGUUCGCAGCCUCCUAAAAUCAGUGGCGGGCUCGCUAUCACACCGAGUGCAGUAGUUUACUCUUCGCUCAGGACGUGUAGCGGGUUCCGGCCGUGAAACCCCCCAAUUUUCAAGGUUGACCUCGGAUCAGGUAGGAAUACCCGCUGAACUUAAGCAUAUCAAUAAGCGGAGGA